rnacentral:rRNA from 1 species
UGCCAGCCGCCGCGGUAAUACGGAGGGUGCGAGCGUUAAUCGGAAUUACUGGGCGUAAAGCGCAUGCAGGCGGUCUGUUAAGCAAGAUGUGAAAGCCCGGGGCUCAACCUCGGAACAGCAUUUUGAACUGGCGGACUAGAGUCCAACAGAGGGAAUCGGAAUCCAAGGUGUAGCGGUGAAAUGCGUAGAUAUCUUGGAGAACAUCAGUGGCGAAGGCGGAUUUCUGGGUUGGUACUGACGCUGAGGUGCGAAAGCUAAGGGAGCGAACAGGAUUAGAUA